rnacentral:rRNA from 1 species
AUUGAACGCUGGCGGCAUGCCUUACACAUGCAAGUCGAACGGUAACGGGCCUUCGGGUGCCGACGAGUGGCGAACGGGUGAGUAAUACAUCGGAACGUGCCCGAUCGUGGGGGCUAACGAGGCCAAAGCUUUGCUAAUACCGCAUACGAUCUACGGUUGACAGCAGGGUACCGCAAGGCCUUGCGCGGACGGAGCGGCCGAUGGCAGAUUAGGUAGUUGGUGGGAUAAAAGCUUAACAAGCCGACGAUCUGUAGCUGAUAUGAGUGGUUGAUCAGCAACACUAGGAGUGGGACGCGGUACAGGGUCCAGCGGGAGGCAGAAGAAGAGAAUUUUGGACAAUAGGCGCGAGCCUGAGCCAGGCAAGCCGAGUGCAGGAUGAAGGGCUGCGAGUUGGAAUCUGCUACUGUACGGAACGAAAAGCCUUCUGUUGAAACAGGAGCGUCAUGACGUUACCGUAAGAAUAAGCACCGGCUAACUACGUG